rnacentral:rRNA from 2 species
UACGAAGGACCCGAGCGUUAUCCGGAUUUAUUGGGUUUAAAGGGUGCGUAGGCGGAUUAGUAAGUCAGUGGUGAAAGCCCAUCGCUUAACGGUGGAAUUGCCAUUGAUACUGCUAGUCUUGAGUAUGGUUGAGGUGGGCGGAAUGUGUCAUGUAGCGGUGAAAUGCUUAGAUAUGACCCAGAACACCAAUUGCGAAGGCAGCUCGCUAAGCCAUAACUGACGCUGAUGCACGAAAGCGUGGGGAGCAAACAGG